rnacentral:rRNA from 1 species
AAUAGUCCUGUAUGUUAAACGAGAAGACUUUAGAUAUGAUCCAGAGUACCACGGGACACGUGAAACCCUGUGGGAAGCAGGAGGGACCACCCUCCAAGGCUAAAUACUACCUAGUGACCGAUAGCGUAUAGUACCGUGAGGGAAAGGUGAAAAGAACCCCGGGAGGGGAGUGAAAUAGAACCUGAAACCCUGCACUUACAAGCUGUGGAAGCACAUUUCUUGUGUGACCGCGUACUUUUUGUAGAACGGGCCAACGAGUUACGUUAAGUAGCAAGGUUAAGCACUUAAGGUGCGGAGCCGUAGCGAAAGCGAGUUUUAACUGAGCGUUCAGUUACUUGACGUAGACCCGAAACCGGGCGACCUACCCAUGAGCAGGAUGAAGCGAAAGUAAAAUUUCGUGGAGGUCCGAACCCACGAGCGUUGAAAAGCUCGGGGAUGACUUGUGGGUAGCGGUGAAAUUCCAAUCGAGCCCGGAGAUAGCUGGUUCUCCCCGAAAUAGCUUUAGGGCUAGCCUCAAGGUGAGAGAUACGGAGGUAGAGCACUGAAUGUCCUAGGGGGUAUUGCACCUACCGAAGACUAUCAAACUCCGAAUGCCGUCAUCUUAUACUUGGGAGUCAGACUGUGGGUGAUAAGAUUCAUAGUCGAAAGGGCAACAGCCCAGAUCGUCAGCUAAGGUCCCUAAAUGUAAGUUAAGUGGUAAAGGAUGUGGGAUUGCACAGACAACCAGGAUGUUGGCUUAGAAGCAGCCACUCAUUCAAAGAGUGCGUAAUAGCUCACUGGUCGAGUGAUCCUGCGCCGAAGAUUUCCGGGGCUAAAACUUACUACCGAAGCUACGGCAUCAGUAAUGAUGGGUAGGGGAGCUUCCCAUACGGGUUGAAGCAUGACCGUAAGGACAUGUGGACAGUAUGGGAGUGAGAAUGUUGGCAUGAGUAGCGAGAUGUGGGUGAGAAUCCCACAGGCCGUAAACCCAAGGUUUCCAGGGGAAGGUUCGUCCGCCCUGGGUUAGUCGGGACCUAAGCUGAGGCCGAAAGGCGUAGGUGAUGGACAACAGGUUGAUAUUCCUGUACUACCGAUAACCGUUUGAGAGAAGGGAUGACACAGUAGGAUAAGCUAAGCACACUGUUGGUUAUGUGUGCCCAAGCAUUGAGGCAGUCAAAGUAGGCAAAUCCGCUUUGAUAAUGCUGGGAUGUGAUGGGGAGCGAAAUUUAGUAGCGAAGUAGCUGAUUUCACACUGUCAAGAAAAGUCUCUAUCGAGGUUAAAGGUACCCGUACCGCAAACCGACACAGGUGGGUGAGGAGAGUAUCCUAAGGCCAGCGAGAGAACUGUUGUUAAGGAACUCGGCAAAAUGACCCCGUAACUUAGGGAUAAGGGGUGCCACCAUCAGGUGGCCGCAGAGAAUAGGCCCAAGCGACUGUUUACCAAAAACAUAGGUUUCUGCUAAGUCGCAAGACGAUGUAUAGGAGCUGACGCCUGCCCGGUGCUGGAAGGUUAAGGGGAUCUGUUAGAGCAAUCGAAGCAGUGAACUUAAGCCCCAGUAAACGGCGGCCGUAACUAUAACGGUCCUAAGGUAGCGAAAUUCCUUGUCGGGUAAGUUCCGACCCGCACGAAAGGCGUAACGAUUUGGGCACUGUCUCAACAACAGACUCGGUGAAAUUGUAAUUCCGGUGAAGAUGCCGGAUACCUGCGACAGGACGGAAAGACCCCAUGGAGCUUUACUGUAGCUUGACAUUGGGUCUUGGUACUACAUGUACAGGAUAGGUGGGAGGCUUUGAAACCAGGACG